rnacentral:rRNA from 5 species
CUUUGACCUCGGAUCAGGUAGGGAUACCCGCUGAACUUAAGCAUAUCAAUAA